rnacentral:rRNA from 1 species
CCUACGGGAGGCAGCAGUGGGGAAUUUUCCGCAAUGGGCGAAAGCCUGACGGAGCAACGCCGCGUGAGGGAUGAAGGCCUCUGGGCUGUAAACCUCUUUUAUCAAGGAAGAAGAUCUGACGGUACUUGAUGAAUAAGCCACGGCUAAUUCCGUGCCAGCAGCCGCGGUAAUACGGGAGUGGCAAGCGUUAUCCGGAAUUAUUGGGCGUAAAGCGUCCGCAGGCGGUCUUGUAAGUCUGUCGUUAAAGCGUGGAGCUUAACUCCAUUUCGGCGGUGGAAACUACAAGACUAGAGUGUGGUAGGGGCAGAGGGAAUUCCCGGUGUAGCGGUGAAAUGCGUAGAUAUCGGGAAGAACACCAGUGGCGAAGGCGCUCUGCUGGGCCAUAACUGACGCUCAUGGACGAAAGCUAGGGGAGCGAAAGGGAUUAGAUACCCCUGUAGUCCUAGCCGUAAACGAUGAACACUAGGUGUCGGGGGAAUCGACCCCCUCGGUGUCGUAGCUAACGCGUUAAGUGUUCCGCCUGGGGAGUACGCACGCAAGUGUGAAACUCAAAUGAAUUGAGG